UUAGUUUUCCUUAGCUGCAAGACUCUGCACUUGCCUUUAUUGAAUUUCAGAUGGUUCCACUCUGCCCAUCUCUCCAACCUGUCAAGGUCCUUCUGAAGGG